rnacentral:rRNA from 1 species
CAGUAGCCGCGGUAAUACGGAGGGUGCAAGCGUUAUCCGGAUUUAUUGGGUUUAAAGGGUCCGUAGGCGGAUCUGUAAGUCAGUGGUGAAAUCUCACAGCUUAACUGUGAAACUGCCAUUGAUACUGCAGGUCUUGAGUAAAUUUGAAGUGGCUGGAAUAAGUAGUGUAGCGGUGAAAUGCAUAGAUAUUACUUAGAACACCAAUUGCGAAGGCAGGUCACUAAGAUUUAACUGACGCUGAUGGACGAAAUCGUGGGGAGCGAACAGGAUUAGAUACCCGCGUAGUCCCUGUCUCUUAUAC